rnacentral:rRNA from 1 species
CUACGGGCUGCAGCAGUGAGGAAUUUUGCGCAAUGGGGGAAACCCUGACGCAGCAACGCCGCGUGAGCGAAGAAGGCCUUCGGGUCGUAAAGCUCUGUCAAGUGGGAAAAAAAUUCUUUGAUGAACAGUCAAAGGACUUGAUGGUACCACUGGAGGAAGCACCGGCUAACUCCGUGCCAGCAGCCGCGGUAAUACGGAGGGUGCAAGCGUUGUUCGGAAUUACUGGGCGUAAAGAGCGUGUAGGCGGUUUGACAAGUCAGAUGUGAAAGCCCCGGGCUCAACCCGGGAAGUGCAUUUGAAACUGUUUCACUAGAGUAUGGGAGAGGAGAUUGGAAUUCCUGGUGUAGAGGUGAAAUUCGUAGAUAUCAGGAGGAACACCCGUGGCGAAGGCGAUUCUCUGGACCAAUACUGACGCUGAGACGCGAAAGCGUGGGGAGCAAACAGGAUUAGAUACCCCUGUAGUC